rnacentral:rRNA from 1 species
AUUAAAAACCAAUGCCCUUCGGGGCUCUCUGGUGAUUCAUAAUAACUUCUCGAAUCGCACGGCCUUGUGCCGGCGAUGGUUCAUUCAAAUUUCUGCCCUAUCAACUUUCGACGGCUGGGUCUUGGCCAGCCGUGGUGACAACGGGUAACGGAGGGUUAGGGCUCGACCCCGGAGAAGGAGCCUGAGAAACGGCUACUACAUCCAAGGAAGGCAGCAGGCGCGCAAAUUACCCAAUCCCGACACGGGGAGGUAGUGACAAUAAAUACUGAUACAGGGCUCUUUCGGGUCUUGUAAUUGGAAUGAGUACAAUUUAAAUCCCUUAACGAGGAACAAUUGGAGGGCAAGUCUGGUGCCAGCAGCCGCGGUAAUUCCAGCUCCAAUAGCGUAUAUUAAAGUUGUUGAGGUUAAAAAGCUCGUAGUUGAAUCUUGGGCCUAGCCGGCCGGUCCGCCUCACCGCGUGCACUGGCUCGGCUGGGUCUUUCCUUCUGGAGAACCGCAUGCCCUUCACUGGGUGUGCC